rnacentral:rRNA from 1 species
CCACCCGAGGAGUUAUGCUGCAUGAUGACGGUACCUUUUAGCAAGCACCGGCUAACUCUGUGCCAGCAGCCGCGGUAAGACAGAGGGUGCAAACGUUGUUCGGAAUUACUGGGCGUAAAGCGCGUGUAGGCUGCUUGGAAAGUCGGAUGUGAAAGCCCUGGGCUCAACCUAGGAAGUGCACUCGAAACUUCCAAGCUCGAGUUUCGGAGAGGAAGGCGGAAUUCUCGGUGUAGAGGUGAAAUUCGUAGAU